UCAAAGGCUCUUUUCAGAGCCACUCAUAUUUUCGAAAGAGAACUGU
rfam:Cavia porcellus supercont2_108 genomic scaffold, whole genome shotgun sequence.